rnacentral:lncRNA from 1 species
CUAAGUGACACCCAGCCCCCAGUCCCAAGGUUCAGAUGGUUGUGCUGUCAGCACUCGGAGUCACCAACUCCCCGUCUCCCUCUCGUUGGCUCACCAUCUCCUGAGCACAACCAGCCCUCGGCAUAUCACAUACACGUCCUUCAUCAAUCCAUACAUACGAUGGACAGUAAGUCCUUGUCCCAUAAGCCUGGGGACAAAAGGGCUGUCCCAGCCCCGCAGACUGCCUGAAACCUUGAAGAGACCUCCCAUCAGCCAAGGUCCCUAGGCCCUGUGCAUCCCUGAAGUGGCCCUCUCUGUGGCUACUGCCCUUCCCUGCAGACUCACAGCAGGUCAUUCCAAGGGAAAGGGUCACUGGAAGGCAGCCUGGCCACUCAGCCACCUCCGUGGGCUGGACAGAUUCCUUCCAUUCCUGCAUUCCCCUGGUUGGGCAGAGCUUUCCGGGGUGGCUCUGAGCUGGACAGACGGUGGAGAGCCACAUUGAGCCCAUGGCACCGCACCGGGGACUGGAAGAAGCCUAUGCUCAGGUGAGUGGGCACUGUGGUCCCCAACCAAGCAGUUCCUGCCCUUGCACAAGCCCCACUCCCACUGUGUGGGUUUGGGACUCCCCCAACUUUAUGAAGCACCCGAUGCAUUGAUUUCCUCUUCAGCAGGACACGCAACCACAGAAACAGGCACACUGAGCACCCAAGGUCACAUACCCUGUGAGAUGUUUCCUGCACCAUUUCUUUGGUAGCCCUUAAGUAAAUAAAUCGGCGGCUCUUGUGUACUUUCCACUGGGGGAGAAAAUAGCUGAGUAAAUACUGCACCUGCCACGAGGACACAGGGACAGAAAUAAGGCAGGAGUGUCCCGGGCACAGUUUUCUGCCAAGCCACCGUCAUUUGUCACUGACACCCAAGAAAGCUCCGGUUCUGAAAACACAAAGUAGGUUGUGGCCAAAUGUGAAACCAACAGGACAGGGUUUGGCUUCUAAGAUUAUUGAAAGAGCUGUUUUCUCUUCCUUGAUGUCUUUGCGGGGAGGGGAGCCUGCCUGUGCACACAGGAAACACUCAGGCUGCACAGGCUGCAGGGAGCCACACAGCGAGCAAGCACAGGGUCCACAGAGGGAGCAUGAGCAGGGACCCAGGUGGACACUCACCAGUCUGCUCCUCGGGGCCAGCAGGUGGAUCCCUGCAGGAAAGGCAUUCCACCAACAUUCCUGAGCAUUCCCCAUAUGCACAGCAGGGAACCACGUGUCCAGGGCGUUGGGAUUAUGCUCUCUACCUUUCCAAAAUGAAUUGAAACUGAAGAAAAAGCAACACUGUGCUUGGUAGUUUUGAAUUGUCUAAAGGAUCCUCAUAGGUUUGUUUCAAAACCAGAAAUGUGCCUGUUCAUUUAGCAUCUGAGUACUCCGAACCAUCCGCAUGUGCUUACCCGUGUGCUAGGGCCUGAAGGUCCCCUCCAGGGCUCAUGCUGAAAUCCAAUCCCAUUGGGAGGUGGACCAGGUGGGACCUUUAACUGAUGACCAGAUCAUGAGAACUUCAGGGUCACGAUGGAUUAAUGUCUUUUUCCUGAGGCACAGAGUCAGUUCUCUUGAGACUGGGUUAGGUUGCAGGGGAGCAGGUUAGAUCUCAAGGGACUGGAUUAGCUACUGGGAGAGUGGGCUCCAGCCACCCUCCCCUCAGCCUCUCCCUUGCAAACAUGCCUCCUUUUUGAAAUAUGCCCACUUCCCCUUCUGCUUUUCUGCCAUGUUGAGAUGCAACGUGGAGCCCUCACC